UACAUGCACAGUCAUGUCACAGGUAGUCACACCCUCUCACUCACAUCCUCCCAGGCACACUCACAAUCAAGCCUUCACACGCACAACAGUCACACCCUCACAUGCAGUCACACCCAUAUGCACACUCAUGCACACUCACAUCCUCCCAUGCAGUCACUCGCACGGGCAGUCACACAUUCACUCUCACAUGCACACAGUCACACUCUCAUGCAGUCACACCUGCACAUGCACACAGUCACACCUGCACUGUCACACCCAUACGUGCACUCAGUCACACCCUCAUUCAGUCACACCUUCACAUGCACACAGUCACACCUGCACUGUCACACCCACACAUGCACUCACAGUCACACCCUCAUAUGCAGUCACACCUCACAUGCACACUCAGUCACACCCUCACAUGCACACUCAUGCACUCAUAUCCUCCCAUGCAGUCACACCUGCACAUGCAGUCACACAUUCACUCUCACAUGCAGUCACACCCUCUCGUGCACACUCAGUGACACCUUCACAUGCACAGUCACACCUGCACUGUCACACCCACACAUGCACACUCAGUCACAUCCUCUCAUGCACUCAUAUACACAAUCACACCCUCCCAUGCACAAAGGCACUCACAAUCACA
rnacentral:lncRNA from 1 species